rnacentral:rRNA from 1 species
ACUUAAAAUUUAAAAGACUUGACGGUGCUUCACACCAACCUAGAGGAGCCUGUCCUAUAAACCGAUAACCCACGAUUAACCCAACCCGCUCUAGCCAACAGUCUAUAUACCGCCGUCGCCAGCCCACCUUAUAAAAGAAACAAAGUGGGCCUAAUAGUACUACACUAAUACGACAGGUCGAGGUGUAACUAAUGAGCGGGAUAAGAUGGGCUACAUUUUCCAACAGAAUAGACAAAUAAAUCUAUGAAAUUAGAAAUUGAAGGUGGAUUUAGCAGUAAGCUAAGAAUAGAACUCUUAGCUGAAGCUAAUGCAAUGAAGUGCGC